rnacentral:rRNA from 1 species
UAGGGAAUCUUCGGCAAUGGGGGCGAACCCUGACCGAGCAACGCCGCGUGAGUGAAGAAGGUUUCGGAUCGUAAAGCUCUGUUGUAAGAGAAGAACGUGUGUGAGAGUGGAAGGUUCACACAGUGACGGUAACUUACCAGAAAGGGACGGCUAACUACGUGCCAG